GGCAAGACUGCUCCCACUCCGCCAGCUCUUUGGGAGUUGGGACUGAUACCUGAGUGGGAAGGCGGGAUGCGACCCCGCUGGACAGCUGCAAGGACACGUGGACGAGUGGCUCUCUCUCGCCCGCUUGUAACACCCGCCGUACAGAGGCCUUUGACCUCGACCGAAUAACAGAGCAAUCGAGAAUAAACACGGCAAAGGAACCUGCCGAAGGAAACCAUCUGCCAGGCUUCCACUCGUCACGCGCCGCUGAUGGCCCAGUGAGCCGCCGCUCGGCAUGCUGUGCGUCGUGAUCACCGGAACGGAUGUUAAAGGAGAUUUGGUCGGAGUUGAAAUCUUUGGCCCUGCUCUUCAUCGC